rnacentral:rRNA from 1 species
AAUUUGAAAUCUGGUUUCUUCGGGGUCCGAGUUGUAAUUUGUAGAGAGCGCUUCGGGCGAGGUCGCGGUCUAAGUCCAUUGGAACAUGGCGUCGUAGAGGGUGAGAAUCCCGUAUGCGACCGCGGACCGAGCCCAUGUGAAGCCUCUUCGACGAGUCGAGUUGUUUGGGAAUGCAGCUCAAAAUGGGUGGUAUAUUUCAUCUAAAGCUAAAUAUUGGCUGGAGACCGAUAGCGCACAAGUAGAGUGAUCGAAAGAUGAAAAGCACUUUGGAAAGAGAGUCAAACAGUACGUGAAAUUGUUGAAAGGGAAGCGCUUGCAACCAGACCUGCCCGGGGGCGAUCAGCCGCUGUUCUCAGCGGUGCACUCGUUCCCCGAUCAGGCCAGCAUCGGUUUCGGCGGUCGGACAAAGGCCCCGGGAAUGUAGCUUCCCUCGGGGAGUCUUAUAGCCCGGGGUGCAAUGCGGCCAGCCGGGACCGAGGACCGCGCUUCGGCUAGGAUGCUGGCGUAAUGGUUGUCAGCGACCCGUCUUGAAACACGGACCAAGGAGUCUAAUAUCUAUGCGAGUGUUUGGGUGUCAAACCCACGCGCGGAAUGAAAGUGAACGGAGGUGAGAACCCCCCGGGGCGCAUCAUCGACCGAUCCAGAUGUCUUCGGAUGGAUUUGAGUAUGAGCAUAGCUGUUGGGACCCGAA